GAUGAACGCUGGCGGCGUGCCUAAUACAUGCAAGUCGAGCGAACAGAUGAGGAGCUUGCUCCUCUGACGUUAGCGGCGGACGGGUGAGUAACACGUGGAUAACCUACCUAUAAGACUGGGAUAACUUCGGGAAACCGGAGCUAAUACCGGAUAAUAUAUUGAACCGCAUGGUUCAAUAGUGAAAGACGGUUUUGCUGUCACUUAUAGAUGGAUCCGCGCCGCAUUAGCUAGUUGGUAAGGUAACGGCUUACCAAGGCAACGAUGCGUAGCCGACCUGAGAGGGUGAUCGGCCACACUGGAACUGGGACACGGUCAAGACUCCUACGGGAGGCAGCAGUAGGGAAUCUUCCGCAAUGGGCGAAAGCCUGACGGAGCAACGCCGCGUGAGUGAUGAAGGUCUUCGGAUCGUAAAACUCUGUUAUUAGGGAAGAACAAAUGUGUAAGUAACUAUGCACGUCUUGACGGUACCUAAUCAGAAAGCCACGGCUAACUACGUG
rnacentral:rRNA from 1 species